GCGGGUAUUGUGUAAUGGUAAGACCUCAGCCUUCCAAGCUGAUGAUAGGAGUUCGAUUCUCCUUACCCGCUCCA
rnacentral:tRNA from 1 species